rnacentral:rRNA from 2 species
AGGUGCGACCAGACCAACACUAAUACACCGGAUCCCAUCAGAAGUCAGCAGUUAAGCAUGUUUGGGCGAGAGUAGUACUGGGAUGGGUAACCUCCUGGGAAGUCCUCGUGUUGCACCUC